CCUACGGGCGGCAGCAGUGGGGAAUAUUGCGCAAUGGGCGAAAGCCUGACGCAGCGACGCCGCGUGAGGGAUGAAGGUCUUCGGAUCGUAAACCUCUGUCAGCAGGGAAGAACGGUCACUGUGCUAAUCAGCAGUGAAUUGACGGUACCUGCAAAGGAAGCACCGGCUAACUCCGUGCCAGCAGCCGCGGUAAUACGGAGGGUGCGAGCGUUAAUCGGAAUUACUGGGAGUAAAGCGCUCGUAGGCGGUAUGGCAAGGGUGAAAUCCCCGGGCUCAACGUGGGAACUGCCGUUGAAACUGGCGAGCUGGAGUGUGUGAGAGGAAAGUGGAAGUCCAGGUGUAGCGGUGAAAUGCGUAGAUAUCUGGAGGAACAUCAGUGGCGAAGGCGACUAGCUGGAACAUAACUGACGCUGAGGAGCGAAAGCGUGGGUAGCAAACAGGAUUAGAUACCCCAGUAGUC
rnacentral:rRNA from 1 species